UGGGGAAUAUUGGUCAAUGGGCGCAAGCCUGAACCAGCCAUGCCGCGUGCAGGAAGACGGCCCUAUGGGUUGUAAACUGCUUUUGUCAGGGAAUAAACCCCCGCUCGUGAGCGGGGCUGAAGGUACCUGAAGAAUAAGCAUCGGCUAACUCCGUGCCAGCCGCGGUAAUACGGAGGAUGCAAGCGUUAUCCGGAUUCAUUGGGUUUAAAGGGUGCGCAGGCGGAUUGGUAAGUCAGGGGUGAAAUCCCACAGCUCAACUGUGGAACUGCCUUUGAUACUGUCAGUCUAGAGUAUAGUUGAAGUGGGCGGAAUGUGUCAUGUAGCGGUGAAAUGCUUAGAUAUGACACAGAACACCGAUCGCGAAGGCAGCUCGCUAAGCUAUAACUGACGCUCAUGCACGAAAGCGUGGGGAUCAAACAG
rnacentral:rRNA from 1 species